rnacentral:rRNA from 1 species
CAGUCGCCGCGGGAAUACGUAGGGUGCAAGCGUUAAUCGGAUUUAUUGGGCGUAAAGGGUGCGUAGGCGGUUUGGCAAGUCUCGUGUGAAAUCUAUGGGCUCAACCCAUAGCCUGCACGAGAAACUACCGGGCUUGAGUAUUGGAGAGGUGAGUGGAAUUUCCGGUGUAGCGGUGAAAUGCGUAGAUAUCGGAAGGAACACCUGUGGCGAAAGCGGCUCACUGGACAAUAACUGACGCUGAUGCACGAAAGCUAGGGGAGCAAACAGGAUUAGAUACCCGCGUAGUCCCUGUCUCUUAUAU